AGAAUCCUGGGAAGUUUGUCAACGGUAUUUUGUUUUCAACCAACACUAUGACAUUGGGAAUCUGAACUCCUUUGUGGAUGAAAAGCCUGCAUCGACAGGACUUCAGAAAUAAAGGAUAGGAUACCCACCUGCGAGAGCGGGCUUGAAAACAUAACCGGACGGCUUCACGGGAUGAUG
rnacentral:other from 1 species